rnacentral:lncRNA from 1 species
UUAAUAGCAGCUAUUGAAAAUUUCUUUUUUAUUUUGGCAAUUUUUAUACAUUUGUCUUUUAUUUUUUUUACUUCAAUGACUUGUACCUGAAAUAAGAUGAUAGACAUAAUGGUUCUAAUCACAUAGAGAAAACUUUUAAUCUUUCACCAAUAAGUUACUUAUUCAUUUAUUUUACUUUCUCUAUUUAUUUUUUUUAUUGAGGUAACUUUUUUUACUGAAGAUAUUUCAACUCAGAUAUUUGGAAGAAGUGAAAGAAAGAAAGAUGAUAAAUUAUUAUAAUUUUUUAAAUUGAUGGUAAUGUCAAUCAGGCCAACAACAGAUUGUUAAACAAGAUAUUAUAUAUAGCUCACCUAACUUUAAAUUUUAAGAUCAAUUUAGGUAAGGAUAUAGCUUUAAGAAGGCAUGUAUUAGGUUGAAUAUUACAAUCACCCAUUGGUAUUUUACUACAUCAUUUUUUCUGAUAAUUCAGGCGUUAAACUCAAUUUCUAGAAGAGAAAGAAAAAUCCAGAUUUUGUUCCGCCUCAUUGUUCAAGUGCUUCGUUGUCACCAUCAAGCCAUUUGAACUAUGUUCGCUCCAGUAAGCUAUGGACACACGAGAGAACCGCAACUGUGCGUGAAGAACUUGCCUCAAAUCAUUGGGUUUGGCUUCUCCUAUCAAACUUUCCCCAAGGUUUUCCAAAGCUGGAGCAGACUUCCAUUCUUCCUGAACCACACCUUGGUGAGAAAUGCCUUGACAUAUUCUUUCCUUUAAUUUAAUGUGAGACAUGACCUUGAAAUCUUUCUGUGUUAUAGACUUCCUUUUCAAAUCAUGGGCAGUGCUGGCAACUGAGAAUGAGAAUAUAAAACUGCGCCAGACCAUACCAUAACUUGUUCCAAGGGCGACUCAGUGGGGUGUUAUCACACACCAAAUGUAUGUGGCGACUCCACGCUAAAGAGCUUUACUGAGCCAUUAAGAAAAUAACACAACUUUAAUGGUUUGGGGAAAUGGGAAACAAGUAAUAAACUAUCAUAAGGGAUAGAGGGAGACA